GUUCUUUUUGUUGGUAUGCAAUUAUCAUCACAUGGCAGUAGUGUUAACAUUUGUUGAUGAACUAUGUUCGCUUCAUUUUUUUUUUUAAGGUUCAUGAAUCGUUAAUUUGUUUGAUUCAAUCAACCCUGAUUCCCAAUGAGUUUGAUUCAAUCAUGGCUUAAAAAUCAAACCAUCCGGACGGUGAAUCAAACCUUUCGACUCAAUCACGGUGAAUCAAACACCAGUCUGGACAUAAGACUUUAACUUUUUUCCCUUUCCAGGGCCUUACCUGUUCCUAUGACGUCAUUUGGAAGCAAUAAUGUGGUAUCUUGAAAGUGCGGGAUAUGUCACGCGCAAUUUAGUAUCUAUAAAACCAUGGCAAAAAUUGUCUUACCAAAGUUUAAGUAAAUCGGUGAUGUCACACAUUAAGAGGGGGCAUCUAAGUGCAUUAGCCCCUCUGAAUCCAAAGUGCUGCAACUUUGAAUCUAAAUAUUUUCGAUCUAAGGCAUUUCUCGAUGUUGCGAGUGCCGAAACCGGUGAUUUCCAGCCAAGGACCCCAAUUUGGGUAUCUCAACUCAAAACUAAUGUUAACGUGCCUCCCACCUUAACAUUAGAUUUGAGUUGAGAUAGCCAAAAUGGGGUCCCUGGCUCACAAUUACCAGUUUCGGCACUCACAACAUCGAUAAAUGCCUUAAAUCGGAAAUAUUGAAUUUCAAAAUUGCAGCAAUUUGAUUCAGAAGGGCUAAUGCAUAGGAAUACCCCUCUGAAUGUGUGACGUCAGCGCAGAUAUCUAACGAAUUUUAAAUGUUUGACUAAAACGUUUUGUAGCACGUGGUGGUAUAUGUUGCUUUGAGCUGCCAAACUAUUGCUUCCAAAUAAAGUCGCUAGGAACAGCGGAGAUCCCAAAAAGUAAACAAAAGUAAAAGUCCAAUAUCUUGAAAACCGGUGAAUAUUUUUCGGUGAAAUUUGGUAGAUAUUCGUUUUCGCUCUUUCUGAACCGAGCGACAUCACUUUUAUGCCAAUUCAUAAACUUUUUUGAAGGUGGGAGGGUCCCUUUAAUCGUAUUUGUGUAAAUUAACGUAUUCUGUCAAAUACCGGCGUCCUAUUUUUGUGCCGUCCAUUCUUAAAAUCAUCAGUUCACUUGCAGACGAUGAUUAGAAGCUUUGCUUCCAAUGGAAUGCACGAAGCAAUGACUGCAUAAUGCAUUCUUUGUUUUAAAAACAAAACUGUGCAAUAAAAAUUGCACAAAACUUGUUCGAUAUCUAAUCUACCUUUGGUGGCUUCAGCUUACCUGACAGUUCAUUUAUGUAUCCACAUUGCUAGGAAGCAUAUCAUCCGUCUAAUCCAAACAUAAACUAUUCUCGUUGUUGAAACUGGUGACGCACAAGCUGACGUAACGUUAGUGGAGACUUCAUCUCAAAAAACAGCCUGCAUGGGCUAAAAUCCCGGGGGGCGCGUAUGGCUCGUAUCAUUUGCGAGGCACGCGACGGGAGCCUUGAGGAGCUUUCCAUGCUAAAGCGCCUCUAAACCCAGGUCUCACUUGGAGAUCGAUCUCACUCGGAGAUCAUGAGUCUGUUGUAGAGUGGCGUCAUUUUACGUCCAGUCCACCGAACCAGUGUGCACAAUUGCUGGCGGUGGAUACCAGACUCCCCCCACGGGUCGUCAUGUGCGAGGCAAGGUCGGGGAUAAGAUAUCACGGCAGCAAUUGAAGAUAAAAUUGAGAUUCUUUAUGUAAAUGCUAUUAGGCUGCUACAUUUGCACAAUGAGUGAGUGCAAAGCUUCUCUUUAAUUGAUAUUUUUCAUUAUUCAAGCAUACUAUUACCUAAUACGUCUGAGUCUACAUUCACUUUAUCCACGAAAAUGCUUCAAAAUCGCAUUUUUCGUCGGUAAAUAGCAUUGUAACCUUGCGUCAGUUGACACACGCUUUCACUGCCGCAUCCGGACUCUCUGUGCAUAUUUGUCUAUGCAUCAUGAGCUUAAGUAUUGUUUCCUUUUUCGUUAGAUCAAGCUUCAACUUCUAGCGCUUAAUCGCUCAUGCCAAGCAAAGUUUGCGGACUUGUUAAAGGUUAAAAGAAAAUAUAUUUCCUUCAACAGAUGUCUAUAAAAUGAGGCUGCAAAUGAGCGGUUUUCUUCUGGCAAUUAUGGUACUAUAGCACGUUGCUGAUGGAAGGCGGUCAAGAAAAAGAUUAUUUGCAGUUGUGCCUCAUCGUCACUUAUUUGCCAAAUGAAAUUUCAAUUGCUGCUGUUAUCCCCGGCUAUAGUGUCUACGGUGGCGAGCUUUCUCCGCGGACCUUCAACUUCAAGACCUUCUACUUCAAGACCUUCAACUUCUAGACAACUAAAGGGAUAUUCUCGUCAUACUGUACUCUCGAUGACGUGCAUGUCGGGUCAUCGACAUGCAUGUUCAAUACCAUUAGUGCACAUGCUGCACCAGACUAUAUUUACGGACGUUGACUGUUUGCUUUAGGCACUGUUUCAAGCAUUGUACGAUGGCCGAUAACAAAAGUAUUUGUUAACGUUUUCAAGUUCCAUUCGGAGUAUCCGAAACUACGACGCAAUGUUAGUCGGAACUAACGUAUCUAGUUAAUCAGGUUAUCGCAUGAUGUUCUUGCUCAUUGGCAAACAUUAUUUCAGCAGUCGAUACGUCCUCCAAACUUCAGUAACUGUUUCUAUAGUCCCCGUUCGUCACAAACAACCGUUGACAUUUCGUCAACCUUAAAUUCGAAUAUAUUAACCGUUUAGACGCACGAGAAUAUCCCUUUAUCCAAACUAGCUAGUGUGUCUACUGUUUUCUUACUAGGCAAACAAAAGUUUGUCACAGCAUGUGCGCAGUUCACUUUACCUAUGUGCAUUUAUACUAAAAGCCAUUCGUCCACAAGCAAUGCAUUUGCGCUAUUGACGCAAGCUUUCAUGAAGGCCAAACCAAUGCUGAUUCGUCAAUGCUGAUCGUCAGCUUGAAAGUAAAGAUGAGCAAAGUGGUUCAACUGAAUCUUAUGGUUGCAGUAGGGCAUAUUAGACGUAAGUGACAAGUAUGUGUCAGCAAUUGCUUAUGCUUCUUAACCCUAGAAAAUUUUUAUUCAAUCCUUUUGGUGAUGACGUAAUGUGACAGAAAACAGUAGACACACUUAACCUCAUCGGGAACCCUGAAUGUAUGGAAUUUUUGAGCAUAGGUGCCUGUGAGUGUGUAAGGGUGGAUGUGGGUGUGUGAGUAUGUAUGUGCGUAUGUGAGGGUGUGCGUAUGUGUCAUCUUACACGUAAUUUAGUGAAUGAGUGCAUAGGUACUAGCUUCCAAGUAAAUACGUGGAUGAGUGCGUGUAGUCAGUGGUGUAUGGAACUCGCAUUGUGCCUGCCUGCUGCCAACGAAAUAUGCAAGCCCACACAGAGAAAACAGUUUUGUUGUGCGAAACUUCAUGCUGCUGGCAGGAUUUACAUGCAAGUCACAUAUUGCAGGUCUACCAUAAGCAGAGCGAUGUGUCAUCUGAUAGGUAACUCACAACAACACAUACUCUGCAUGUCCAGGGAAAGUGAGUUGUGCUCGGAACAGAUUGGCCAGACAGUUUUGUCCUAUCAAAUUCAGAAUUGUUUCAUCCUCCUCACAGUUGCCAUUAACAUCAGGAGCACACAUUAUUGCUAGAUCUGAAUGCCAGCUACCUAUUGCACUGCUGGCACGUAGUUGGAGACAAAGGUGCCGCCAGUUUUCCAGCUCGCUGUUGAUACAAUGCAAUACUGGUACAAAAUGUCCGUAUUCUGUGUUUUUAGUGUUGUAUGUUUGUAUAUGAGUCUUGCGUCGUAUGAACAUUACGUACAUGAGUUUAAAGUGUUCCCGCGAAAGUAGGUACUGAAUUAGCUCACGCCAGGAUUGCGUUGCGGAGAUAUUUGUAGCCCAUACAAUGUUUUAUGGCGUCAUUUACGACACUUUCUGUUUUUCUUGUCAUUGUAUGCACGUGAGUAGUGCCGCAUGUUGCGCUUGCAAAUCAUGUUCUCAAUGCCAUUUUCUUUUGGUACAAUUGGUCACCACUACAUAUCACUCGCAUACACACGCCCAAGCAAGUCCGAUAUCAAUCACUGUCCAGAAGUGCAUGAUGCAUUCAACCACGCAUAGAACACUGGCACACCAAGAACAUGAACUCACGCAAAAACGAGAGGACUAUUACACGACUUCGCAUUGGACACACCGCUAUCACACACAACUACAUCAUCACAAGAAGCCCGAGACCGAAAUGCAACACCUGCAACACUUUCAUCACUGUCAAACAUCUGCUACUCACAUGCCCACAAUACCAACACCACAGGACAAACAUACAAACAUACUGCAGAGACGCCAACAUCCCACUAACACUCACAACACUGCUCGGGGACUUACACCCCGAGCUAACAACACUACUCAUCCACUACAUACACAACACUGGGCUGAUAAAUGACCUGUAAAUCUCCUCCCCUAGAGCCAAGGACAAAAAAGCCAAAAAAAGCCAAAAAAGAAGCCAAAAAGAAAAAAAACAUUCAAAACAAUGAGAAUCAAAAUAAAAGACCCCAGAAUGGCAAAAUGGCAAAAAAAAAACAAAAAAAAACAAACAAAAAAUAAUAAUAGAAGGGGCAAUCCGGCUACCCGGGAGGAGAUAGCUAGGAACCCUGACCCACCCCUCAGCCCACCCUUACGAGCCAAGAAGACGACGGACACUUCAAGACAAUGGACGGACCAACAACGAAGACGGACGACAGAACCGGGCCCAAAUACAGAACGCUGUGGUGGCCCGUAAGCCACAAAUACCAUACCAUACCAUACCAGUGCAUCAUGCAGCAGAAGAAGCUUCAUUGAACACACUCGUCAUCAUGAACGGCAUCUUAGGAGCUUCAUGAGUUUGGAUCUGUGAACAGUAAGUGGAAUGGGAGCAUAAUGGUACACGCUACCAAACCAGAUUUUUUAUAAACAAAAACAUUACGUUUAUUACCGUUUGGAGGUGAUUUGUUUUAUUUGGUCAUUGUGUCAAUGUCAUGUUUGAUCAUAUAGGUAACGAAAAGCGUACCUAUUCAAAACGUUUAUUCUUUGUCAUGAUGUGCCUGCAGGUUGUUUUCGCAGUAUCCAAUAGCAACCGUGUAUGACCAGGCGCCCCUUGGACGCCUUGUCUAGCCCCGUCUUCCGGGACUGUGUGAUGACUGCCUUUGCAAUCUCAAGUGCCAGUUUCUGCCUCCGGCCUAUUUCUUUAUCAAAGGAUGUUGGUAACUGAACGACCAGCUCUGCUCCAAGAUUCCAAAUCGUUUUACGGUAUUUUAUGCCUACAAAACGUUAAUAUUUGCUGGACGCGUUGAUGCCCGAAUAGGAUGACCUUUAUUCCUAGAUACAGGCAUUCAACGUUGAAUCAAUUACGCUUCUAGCCUUCUGUUUAUUGGCUUUACAUACUUUUUAUUAAUAUUUAUCAUGUGUCUAGCCUGCAAUUCAUUUUACUCACCACCAUCGGACGUUACAACUAUAAGCUUAUAACUACUAUAUACAACUAUAAGCUAUAAGCAGCUAUUCGCUGACUUGACAUAUGAUAUUUUCGCGACGACUCGUUUCGCCCUUCCGCCAUGUUAACUAAUCAUCCGUUACAUCUUUAUGUCAACAGGUAUAGUACAAGUCAUCCUUACCGUCGAUACCGUAGAAGAAUUUGCCGUCGACCACGGAAAACAUAUUGUGCUUCCCGUUGCUGGUAAUUUUGUAUUUGUCACUUAGGUGACAGUUACUAUAGUUCGUUUUCUUUUUAAAGUUCGGCCCUGACUGUAAACAUCUUUUUGAACACAGCACGAGAAUUACUGAGAAAAUUGGUUAGCGCCCAUUGAUACCGUUGUGUUAAACGCGGUGCGAUUUAUUAAUUAGUUCAGUUAUUACUCCUGACAAAUCGUCUAUCCCUGUGGGGUUGUAAAUAUGAGCAAAUACGAGCUGAGGGGUCUGGGAAAUAGGAGCCAGAAAGAAAUAACUUUGAUAAAGUUUUUCAUCAGUGAAAUUCAACGUGCGACAACCAUUUUCCUCUUCUUAGUAAUUCAGCUAGCAAUUCUCGUGCUGUGUUCGAAGAGACGUUUACAGUGAGGGUCGAACUUAGGACGAACUAUGGCACCUAUCAGCAGAUAUACGUUCAUAAUGCAACAAGGGAACGAAAAGCGUGUUCAAAACUUAAACUCAUUGUCCUUAUGUGCCUGCAGGUUGUUUUCGCAGUAUCCAAUGGCAACCGUGUAUGACCAAGCGCCGCUUGGACGCCUGGACGCCUCGCCCAGCCACGUCUUCCGGGACUGUGUGAUGACUGCCUCUGCACUCACAAGUGCCAGUUUCUGCCUCCGGCUUAUUUCUUUAUCAAAGGAUGUUGGUAACUGAACGACCAGCUCUGCUCCAGGAUUCCAAAUCGUUUUACGGUACCUUGUCCAUCACCAUCAAGAGAUCAACAUUUUUGCAGGCACUUACGUACGGCUGGUAUGUAUUCAUAUUUGAUUGUCAGCACGUUGUAGAAUGCUUUACAUUUUGUGUGAUCAUUUACUGUCCUCUUUCCUACACAAUGCCAACAACAAUGAUGUUUGUCAUCGUUUGCAUGCAUCUAUUGGGAUUGAUGUUUGCGUUUACUGACAGACGCUUGUCAACAUUUUCAGUAGUGUCCGGCGCGAUGCUGAAUGCGACCUGUUAUCUGUUGGAUCUACUCUGUGAGCCCAGACCCCAGUGCAAACCAGUCCGGGCCAUCGGCUGGCCGUGUCAGUCGCUCCGGAGGGCUGUUCGGGUCCCUGCAGCAUAGAUCUGUGCUGCGUGCGUCAUACCUUGGUGACGUCAGCCGACUGGCUCCGCCCACUCUCCGCCGGCACGCAGCGGCCGAGCGUCGCUGUAUGUAUGUCGCACCCCAUGGUGACCAACAACGGACUCUGCUGCUCGAUUGGCUGUUCUCCAAUGAAGACAACCACUGGAGAGCGCUCAACAUCCAGCUCAAAAUGGUCUCCUGUGUGGUCGAGACCGGUCUUUUCGUCUACAUGGCCGUGCAUCAUCUUCGGCGGGCUGUACGGCACUGAGCAGCUGUUCGGAGACUGGACAGAGCUGAGGAGCUGCACUGAGCACUGUGCUUGGGACGUUACUGAGCCGCACUAAGUAUCUGCACAAUCCGGACCGAGCCGCUCUGAAGGCGGGUCGCUACUUCAACCGUUAUUGGACUCUCUCCCAGCGCCGCAGCCGCCGGGCCCUCCACACAGUGGUCGGUUCGCACAGCCCUCACACAGUGUCUGGAGACGGCGAACGGCUCUGUGAGAAGGAGAACUGUAAAGGAGGCCACUUCAGUGUUUAAGUGGUGUUCUUGUGGUCUAAAAAUUACCAGCUUUAAAUGGCGUCGCUCCCAAAUAAAUACCAGUGUUCUGGGCAAAUUCAGCAGUUAAGCUAAUUUGUUCUCAUUCGAUGUCCGGAAUGUCGACUUCUUUGUUUUAAUGUCUCGAACCGAUCAUGACGUUGCUGUCCAACGCUCAUGAGAUAGAGAUGGACCCGAUCGGCUACGAGACCGAGUAUUUGUUCUCAUUCGAUGUCCGAAAUGUCGACUUCCUUGUUUAAAUGUCUCGAACCGAUCAUGACGUUGCUGUCCAACGCUCAUGAGAUAGAGAUGGACCUGAUCGGCUACGAGACCGAGAUGGACAACUUUGUCGUUUCGGGCGUCUGCAAUGAGCAAAUGUACGGCAUGUGCGAGCCGCUCUGGGAGCCCGAUCUCGAGCCGGACGAUCUGUUCGAGACCAUCGCUCAGGCGUUUAUCAACGGCUUCGACCGUAACGCCGGCACUGGCUGGGAUGCCAUCGUACACGUGAUUGAGAAGGAGAACACCGACGUCCGACAUGGUGGCCUCUCAAAUCAACGUUCUUGAGGAAUGGAGGCUGCUGUUGCGCGCUCCAAGGGCGGUGUUAGCCAUCAGACAGCGCAUUAGGCUCUCAGUGACUGGCAUGGGCUUGGGAAUUCAGGGGCCUUCAUAGGCGCUCAGAUAUAUACCUAUAUAUGUACGCUCUUAGACCGGUGUCGGGUCCUCCAAGGAAGUAGUUAAAGGAAAGCGCAGGGAUUUAGGAGUCGUUGUAGGGAUUUGAAAACCCUGCCAUCAUAUAGCAAUAUGGAGUCCUUAGAGACUGCCAUUCAGUCUCUGUGAUUAGAGUGUGACCUAGCUUGAUCUGAAAAUGGGUAUCAAAAUGCUGGACUUGAAUCAAAGGUCAGGUUAUGGGGAUCCUGUACGAGUUGUGACUUGUAGAUCUCCUAUCUGUAGCAACCUGCAUUCAGAGCCCUGUGCAGAUUAUUGCAGAUUACCUCAGAACGGUGUGAGGCUGCUUAGACUAGUAUGGUGCUCGUGUAGGGAUCAUCUAUGCGAUUUGUCAUUUCAUGUUUUCAUUUAUAUUGUCACCGCGUUAUUAAUCAAUCAAUUGCUGUCAAUCGAUUGUUAUCAACCUCUUGUCAAUUGUGCGUCAAGUUUGUUUGUUAUUUGUAAACCGGCCUGCCGCUGACGUCAGCCUUCAUGGGCCCUGUUAUACCGCCCGACGCUGCGCGCGCUGCAGCGCGCUGGGAGCUGAGGCAUACCCCUGACGUCACUCGAAUGACGUUACGUGCGAUCCGUCACCUUAUGGUAAAUCGCGUUUUGAACAGAGACCUUCAAGAACCUAGUACCAAUUGAACAGAAGUUUGAGUGCGAAUACUGCUAGCGUGUGGAUGGUUCUGGCGCCGCGGUGCUAGCGUUUUGCGAUGACGUCAUAGCGUAGCGUCAGAGGGAAGUUUGUUGAUAUUGCCAUGGAAACCCAAUGCGCCGACGCGCGCAGCGCACUGCACAAGGCCCUAUAUACCCAUGUCGCCCCCACUGCAGCGCUCCGCCGUGAAACAGGGCCCUAGUAACCGCUAUGCCAUACGCUAUAGAACCUGUCGUGCAAAGGUCACGGCGGCACCCCUGAGGCGGCCGCUGCCCGUAUCAUUAGGAACCCAUUGUCGUGACGUCAUGACUGUGAACAAAGGUCGCCGUAGGGGCUCUCCCGGUAGCCGGACGGUGACGCGUACGUUAAGCUUGUUUCUCGCCGCGCCUGCGGGCAUAUUGCUAGUACCUACUAGGGACGGCCAGCAUAUGACCGCGGCUUUCGGCGACAUUGUCAAUUCGUUUUCGACUCUGCUGUUCGUUGUACCUACUCGACGCAAGUCAAAUAUACAUAGAAAACGGC